rnacentral:rRNA from 1 species
UACGUAGGGUGCGAGCGUUAAUCGGAAUUACUGGGCGUAAAGUGUGCGCAGGCGGCCGAGCAAGUCGAGUGUGAAAGCCCCGAGCUUAACUUGGGAACUGCGCUCGAAACUACUUGGCUAGAGUGUGGCAGAGGGAGGUGGAAUUCCACGUGUAGCGGUGAAAUGCGUAGAGAUGUGGAGGAACACCGAUGGCGAAGGCAGCCUCCUGGGCCAACACUGACGCUCGUGCACGAAAGCGUGGGGAGCAAACAGG